rnacentral:rRNA from 1 species
AAUCAACGCUGGCGGCGUGCCUCAGACAUGCAAGUCGAACGCGAAAUUUCCCUUCGGGGAGAAAGUAGAGUGGCGCACGGGUGAGUAACACGUAGGUAAUUUGCCUUUGGGUGGGGAAUAACUCAGGGAAACUUGAGCUAAUACCGCAUAAUGCAGCGGCUCGACAUCGAGACAGUUGUUAAAGCGGGGGAUUGGAGCAAUCCGACCUCGCGCCUAAAGAGAAGCCUGCGGCAGAUUAGCUAGUUGGUAAGGUAAUGGCUUACCAAGGCGACGAUCUGUAACCGGCCUGAGAGGGCGGUCGGUCACACUGACACUGACAUACGGGUCAGACUCCUACGGGAGGCAGCAGUCGGGAAUUUUGGGCAAUGGGCGCAAGCCU